UCGGUUAGUCGGCACGAGCGCACCUUGUCGUUAGUUGCUACCAGUUCGGCUGGGCACUCUAGCGAGACUGCCGGUGACAAACCGGAGGAAGGUGGGGAUGACGUCAAGUCCUCAUGGCCCUUAUACCCAGGGCUACACACGUACUACAAUGGCAACUACAGAGGGCGGCAAGACCGCAAGGUGGAGCAAAUCCCAGAAAAGUUGCCUCAGUUCGGAUUGGAGUCUGCAACUCGACUCCAUGAAGUUGGAAUCGCUAGUAAUCGCGGACCAGCAUGCCGCGGUGAAUACGUUCCCGGGCCUUGUACACACCGCCCGUCACACCACGAGAGUGGGCUGGACCCGAAGUCGCUUACCCAACCCUUUGGGAGGGAUGCGCCGACGGUCUGGUUCGCGAUUGGGGUGAAGUCGUAACAAGGUAGCCGUAGGGGAACCUGCGGCUGGAUCACCUCCUUUC
rnacentral:rRNA from 1 species